rnacentral:misc_RNA from 1 species
AGGGAGCCCGGGGACGCAUGUGUGUGGAGUCUUUUUAUCCGAAGUUGGUGCCGCGAAAGAGAAGCAGCUACCCUUGGUCUUAGCGUCACCCCACUUCGCUCCGCACCAGCGGAUGGCGUGUGGACACCUCAGUGCGUGGUAUCGCAGGGCUCAGUGCCCCUCCCCAAACUCUGUGUGGCGGGGAGCCAAGCAGCACCCCUUAUCCCCUGUCAAGCCUGAACCACCUCUGGCGGUGACAGCGUCAGGCACCGGCGACCCGAGGCGAGGUCGGGGCGGUGCAUCGCUGCUGAUUUAGGCGGUGAGGUCCUGAAUGGCGCGAGGUCGGAGCGGCCUGUGACACCGGACACGCUUGUACCAUCCAUACGAUGGGCGAGGUGUCAAGGGAACUCGAGUCUAUCUCACCCGGCCCUUGCUGCUUACUGGUGUGCGGAGGCGGAGUGCCACCGCGAGAAGAGGGAUGCGCCGGGGGUGGCGGCCGGCAUGGUGGGAGCAGCCUUUAGGAAGCCAGUGCGUAGAGUUGGGGGCAGGUGCCGUGCUCAGAUGGCUGAGCCGGUGCCUUGCUGUAGGGCGUGUCUACGGCUGCCGUCGCACCACGCGAUGCGGGGGAUCUGUGACAGGCGGAAGGGGUAGUAGAGUGAGGGGUGAGGCCGUGCUAUGUGGCUCUGUGGAGACGAGUACGCUGACGAAAAAGCAUUCUAUCCGCUGCUAUGCAUGACUCGCCUCACCAUCCGGCUUCAUCAGGAGCAUGGGCUUUAGCACUUCCACCCUUCCUGGUCACACUCUGGUGUUCUCUUCUUUCUUUGUGGAACCUCCUCAGCCUCUUGGAGUGCGGGCACGGGCGAACUCGUGAGUGCGGCUGAGCCUGCCCCGCACCCCCCCCCCUCACCACCACCUGCCUCCUCUGCUCUUCGAUGGUGUCUCUACUGUUCGUCUCAUCGGCAUUCUCUGUGCUUUUUUCAUGUUUUUUUUUUUACAUUGUACAUUUGUGCUGUGUAAGGCUCUCCUUCUCUUGCUCAUCCUCUAAACUCUCUGUGAUCCCCCUCACCCUGCUUUUUCUCUCUCUUCUUCACGAUAUGCUGAGGCGUGGGCGUCAUUGCGUGCACAGAGUCCUUUUUCGUCUGUCUGUGUGUGUGUGUGUGUGUGUGCUGGUGCCCUCCGACCCCGCGUCCCUUUCUCUGUAUUGCCUUCCCUCUUCGCAACUGUGUGAACUCCCGCCUGGUGUUCAUGUGCCUUAUGUGCUCCUCUUUUUCUCCUCUCCCUUUUCCCUUGUGUUGUUGUUGGGGGAAGGAAUAGGGGGGUCACGGGGGUUGUUGCAUCGCUGAACGGUGUGUGAUCGCAUGUGGCCACCCUUUCUGCCUUCGUCUCCAUUCUCAAUAUAUGUCUUUUCGAUGGUGCUCGAACGGUAGCGACACGGAAGCGUUCGAUGCCAUUGGGCUCAUCCCUUGUGCGCGCUCUCAAUAUCCUUUUCCUUUUUUUCUUACUGGGGCAGCCAGUGCGCUCGUCGUCCUUUCGCCGGUCUAUGAACGUUGCUUAUUCCAUUCUUUUCUUCGUGCACGUAUAAUUCGUGCCUUGCGGCCCUCUAGCGACCAUGAUCCUUGCUCAAAGGAAAGGAAGACCAUCUG